rnacentral:rRNA from 1 species
UCGAGCGUGAUUGUUAUGAGUGGCGGCUUCGGUCAAAGCGAGUAACAUGAAAGCGGCGGACGGGUGAGUAACGCGUGGGCAACCUGCCCCAUACACGAGGAUAGCCACUGGAAACGGUGAAUAAUACUCGAUAAGACCACACUUCCACAUGGGAGAGCGGCCAAAGAUUUAUCGGUAUGGGAUGGGCCCGCGUCUGAUUAGCUAGUUGGUGAGGUAACGGCUCACCAAGGCGACGAUCAGUAACCGACCUGAGAGGGCGGACGGUCACACUGGAACUGAGACACGGUCCAGACUCCUACGGGAGGCAGCAGUGGGGAAUAUUGCACAAUGGGCGCGAGCCUGAUGCAGCGACGCCGCGUGAGUGAAGAAGGCCUUCGGGUCGUAAAGCUCUGUCCUGUGGGACGAAACAAAUGACGGUACCACAGGAGGAAGCCCCGGCUAACUACGUGCCAGCAGCCGCGGUAAUACGUAGGGGGCAAGCGUUAUCCGGAAUCACUGGGCGUAAAGGGUGCGUAGGUGGCCUAUCAAGUCAGAAGUGAAAGGCAGUGGCUUAACCACUGUAAGCUUUUGAAACUGAUGGGCUUGAGUGCAGGAGAGGUAAGUGGNAAUUCCUAGUGUAGCGGUGAAAUGCGUAGAUAUUAGGAGGAACACCAGUGGCGAAGGCGACUUACUGGACUGUUACUGACACUGANGGCACGAAAGCGUGGGGAGCAAACAGGAUUAGAAUACCCUGGGUAGUCCACGCCCUAAACGAUGUCAACUAGUUUGUCGGGNAGGGUACCCUCUUGGUAACGCANCUACGCGUGAAGUUGACCGCCUGGGGAAUACSGUCGCAGAWUWAAAC